GGCCUGGUGCGCUUGGCCCGCUGUGGUUUCACAUGUGAGUGCCGAUGCGUACCUGCCAUCCUUGCCGACCGACCGACCCCUUCUUCACUGAAGUGGGACGGAUCCCGGGCGGCAUCAUUUACUUUGAAAAAAUUAGAGUGUUUCAAGCAGGCAGUUUGCUAUGAAUACAUUAGCAUGGAAUAAUACGGUAGGACUUUUGUUCUAUUUUGUUGGUUUCUAGAGUGGAAGUC
rnacentral:rRNA from 1 species